UACGUAGGGUCCGAGCGUUGUCCGGAAUUACUGGGCGUAAAGAGCUCGUAGGUGGUUUGUCGCGUUGUUCGUGAAAACUCACAGCUCAACUGUGGGCGUGCGGGCGAUACGGGCAGACUGGAGUACUGCAGGGGAGACUGGAAUUCCUGGUGUAGCGGUGGAAUGCGCAGAUAUCAGGAGGAACACCGGUGGCGAAGGCGGGUCUCUGGGCAGUAACUGACGCUGGAGACGCGAAAGCGUGGGGAGCGAACAGG
rnacentral:rRNA from 1 species